ACAAUCUUGUAAUAAACACUGAUCUUAGUAAAAUAGAAGCCUCACACUCUACAGUUCCUUUAACCACAACAACUUCAAGAUCCUUCAAAAUCUCCAGCUGCAAGAUAAAAAACUAGAUAUUAAGAACUCAGAAUCAAGAGAUCAUGUUUAAUGGACAUUUCUGACCAGAGGAAGACCAUCUAUUUUCCCUUUUCCUCUGAAAUCAGCUGAAAAACCAAUAACAAAUUAUAAUUGGCGUACUAAUCUCACCCCAUAGACGUCAAAGGAAUAUUUCCAACUCCCAAACCAAUUGACAAAACAACAGUUUAGAAACAUGAAGCUUGAUCUGGAUGCAAUAAAAUAUACAAUAUACCAGUUUUGUCAUAUAUGACUAUAUUAACUGCAAUCAAGACUGCAUCACAUGAGUAUAAUGAAGUGGCCUAGAAAGAUACAAAGAAACCAUGCGCAUAGGUGCACACAUGGAUGCAUAUAGUUACACACACAGGACCCAGAAGAAGCUGACUGAAAAGUGGAAAAUUUGUUAUUAGAGCUACUAUUUGCAGAUCUGGCUCGUUUUGAUAGGGAAACAAGAGAAAUCUUUUGAUGAACUUAGAAAGUUUCCUACAAGGAUAUCUUAAUAAAGAAAAGGUCAAUUGAUUCUGUUGUGGGCAUUUCAAAUGAGCGAGUAGAGUUGAGACUAGUCUUUGUUUUUUGGGAUUUUCUUUUAUUUAUUUAUUUAUUUAUUUUUGGCUUCAUCAAGGGGGCCAAUUUGUUAUGGUGGUUUCUCCACAAACGACUAGGUCAAAUUUCACAAUCACCUCCUUUGUUUACAUAUUUAUGUUUACAUAAAAGAUGCACAUAAGUUAAUUAAGAGUGCUGCAUACUCCAUUCUUUCAGCACAUACACUGAAUAUAAACAACAUAUCCAAAACCUAAGACCUUUCUCUUUGCUUAAAAGAAUCAAGAUAUAGUGCUGCAUCAUCGAUCACCUACCAGUAAAUCUUUAUGAGGAAAAAAUAUCAAAGCGUUCAGAAACUUAAUGUUCAACUCUAUUAGUCUAUUAUGUAUUUGCAGUUGAUAAAACAGAAUAUUCCUUCAAACCUAAAUCCUCAGGCAGAAAUUGACAAAACACAGACUACCUUCUCUUUGCUAUUAUAAGGAAACAGUUAACAGAAACAAAAUAAUCUGCAAAGAAUGGAUUCAAGGAAAUGAAACCAUGGUUUAUGCAUGAUAAGAACAAAAUGGUAAGGAAUCGCUUAACCAGGUCAAAUAAUGCCUUCAUAUGGUCCUCUGAAGCACAAUGCACAAAUGCUGAAAGAUCUGAACCUUGCUUUAGCCAAACAGUCAGUGUAUCACAAUCCUCAUCAUACUGUUCUGAUGGCUGACAGGAAACAAUUUCUGACAGGGUCAGUACAGAACAACAACGAAACACAGGGAAUACCAUCUCGUAUAAAACCACAUAAUAGUUCUAACCAUUUAUAAAUACAUACAAGCUCCUUGAUAGAAAACACAUCCAUGAUUUGAUAUCGAAAAGCUAUUUGUCACCGAAUUUGACAAGUCAACUAGGCAUUUAUAUCUACUCUUGUACUUAAUAUCUUAACCAUUGUGGUAUCAUGAAGCUGAAUACAGAGCCUACGUCACACCCUCGCUACUCAAACUGUUAAUUGCUCAUCUUGAUUGGCAUAAUUACGAAUGUGCAUAAAUUAUGAGCAGAAAGAUCUCUAUAAUCAAUAAAAUAUUCUGCUUCUCAGCUUUAAAUGUAGAAAGCAGAUAUUGUUUUGAUUUCACAUAUCACUAUGUCAUCAGCACAAUUUUUCUCUGACUGAACCCAAAACAAUUGCAAAAGGAGCCUGUAGAAGAAAGUUUGCGGAGUUAACUUAAAACCCAAUGCAGCAGAGUAAUGUAGCUGAUGAAUCCAUACCUCGGAGGAGAAUCGCACCAAAUGAGAAUAAUGAGAACCAACCCUAACCACAGAAGGAGACUGUCAUGCGCGAGAACUCAAACAGUCUUUGUACCAAAAUAAAUAAAACCCAUCUAGUUAAACUCGAGACCUCUCAAUUUGUCAAGACGCGAUAUCAGAAGGCACGAN
rnacentral:lncRNA from 1 species